rnacentral:rRNA from 1 species
GACAGAGGAUGCAAGCGUUAUCCGGAAUGAUUGGGCGUAAAGCGUCUGUAGGUGGCUUUUUAAGUCCGCCGUCAAAUCCCAGGGCUCAACCCUGGACAGGCGGUGGAAACUACCAAGCUGGAGUACGGUAGGGGCAGAGGGAAUUUCCGGUGGAGCGGUGAAAUGCGUAGAUAUCGGAAGGAACACCUGUGGCGAAAGCGGCUCACUGGACCAUAACUGACGCUGAGGCGCGAAAGCUAGGGGAGCAAACAGG